rnacentral:rRNA from 1 species
UGGGGCAUUUUCCGCAAUGGGGGCAACCCUGACGGAGCAAUACAGCGUGAGGGAGGAAGGCCUUUGGGUUGUAAACCUCUUUUCUUAAGGAAGAAGCUCUGACGGUACUUAAGGAAUCAGCAUCGGCUAACUCCGUGCCAGCAGCCGCGGUAAUACGGAGGAUGCAAGCGUUAUCCGGAAUUAUUGGGCGUAAAGCGUCCGCAGGCGGCAGGAUAAGUCUGCUGUCAAUGACCGCAGCUCAACUGCGGAAAGGCAGUGGAAACUGUCAAGCUAGAGUACGGUAGUGGUAGAGGGAAUUCCCAGUGUAGCGGUGAAAUGCGUAGAGAUUGGGAAGAACACCAGUGGCGAAAGCGCUCUACGGGGCCUUAACUGACGCUCAGGGACGAAAGCUAGGGGAGCGAAAGGGAUUAGAUACCCCCGUAGUCC